ensembl:lncRNA
GAAGCAGCGUAGAGUAUAAACCAACACAUUCCAUGCUGUCUGUCAGUUGGUUCUUCUUCUCUGGUUUUGGAAGCAGCGUAGAGUAUAAACCAACACAUUCCAUGCUGUCUGUCAGUUGGUUCUUCUUCUCUGGUUUUGGAAGCAGCGUAGAGUAUACACCAACACAUUCCAUGCUGUCUGUCAGUUGGUUCUUCUUCUCUGGUUUUGGAAGCAGCGUAGAGUAUACACCAACACAUUCCAUGCUGUCUGUCAGUUGGUUCUUCUUCUCUGGUUUUGGAAGCAGCGUAGAGUAUACACCAACACAUUCCAUGCUGUAUGUCAGUUGGUUCUUCUUCUCUGGUUUUGGAAGCAGCGUAGAGUAUACACCAACACAUUCCAUGCCGUCUGUCAGUUGGUUCUUCUUCUCUGGUUUUGGAAGCAGCGUAGAGUAUACACCACCACAUUCCAUGCUGUCUGUCAGUUGGUUCUUCUUCUCUGGUUUUGGAAGCAGGGUAGAGUAUACACCAACACAUUCCAUGCUGUCUGUCAGUUGGUUCUUCUUCUCUGGUUUUGGAAGCAGCGUAGAGUAUACACCAACACAUUCCAUGCGGUCUGUCAGUUGGUUCUUCUUCUCUGGUUUUGGAAGCAGCGUAGAGUAUACACCAACACAUUCCAUGCUGUCUGUCAGUUGGUUGUCUCUCUCAAAAAAGGUGUUGAACACAAGCAGAUCUGGGAUCCAGGCUACCAACCUGCCUUGUGCUUCCUGCUGUCUAACACUUCAUGAUAGACGGACCGACGCUUCAUUAAUUCUACUCUGUCCACCAGCACAGCAUUUAAACUGCUUUUAUUUUGACAAACAAACGGGGCACUGAGCCUGGGGGACGAGGUGUCGUCUCUAGUCACUGAGCCUGGGGGACGAGGUGUCAUCUCUAGUCACUGAGCCUGGG